CCGAAGGAAAAAACUGGUUAUUAGAUUGGCGAAUGCGGGCUGGCGGAAUAAGCUUGUCCGGGCCAUAACUAUGUCGUUCAUUGUCAGAUUUUAAAAUCAUUUGGCACAUUUGUUCACCAUCAUUGGACGGUGUGUCGCGCGAAAUAAUUACGUCGAUAUCUCCAAGGUCAAGGUCACACUUUGAGUUCAAAGGUCAAAAAUGGCCAUAAAUGAGCUUGUCCGAGCCAUUACUAUGUCGUUCAUCGUCAGAUUUUAAAAUCAUUUGGCACAUUUGUUCACCAUCAUUGGACGGUGUGUCGCGCGAAAAAAUUACGUCGAUAUCUCCAAGGUCAAGGUCACACUUUUAGUUCAAAGGUCAAAAAUGGCCAUAAAUGAGCUUGUCCGAGCCAUAACUAUGUCGUUCAUCGUCAGAUUUUAAAAUCAUUUGGCACAUUUGUUCACCAUCAUUGGACGGUGUGUCGCGCGAAAUAAUUACGUCGAUAUCUCCAAGGUCAAGGUCACACUUUGAGUUCAAAGGUCAAAAAUGGCCAUAAAUGAGCUUGUCCUGGCCAUAACUAUGUCAUUCAUUGUGAGAUUUUAAAAUCAUUUGGCACAUUUGUUCACCAUCAUGGGACGGUGUGUCCCACGAAAGAAUCACGUCAAUAUCUCCAAUGUCAAGGUCGCCACGACUAAAAAUAGAUUUAAAAAAAAAAAAAAACUUACAAAGGGGGUUAAUUUUUUUUGGUCAUUUCAAAA